GUAGGGAAUCUUCCGCAAUGGGCGAAAGCCUGACGGAGCAACGCCGCGUGAGUGAUGAAGGUCUUCGGAUCGUAAAACUCUGUUAUUAGGGAAGAACAUAUGUGUAAGUAACUGUGCACAUCUUGACGGUACCUAAUCAGAAAGCCACGGCUAACUACGUGCCAGCAGCCGCGGUAAUACGUAGGUGGCAAGCGUUAUCCGGAAUUAUUGGGCGUAAAGCGCGCGUAGGCGGUUUUUUAAGUCUGAUGUGAAAGCCCACGGCUCAACCGUGGAGGGUCAUUGGAAACUGGAAAACUUGAGUGCAGAAGAGGAAAGUGGAAUUCCAUGUGUAGCGGUGAAAUGCGCAGAGAUAUGGAGGAACACCAGUGGCGAAGGCGACUUUCUGGUCUGUAACUGACGCUGAUGUGCGAAAGCGUGGGGAUCAAACAGGAUUAGAUACCCUGGUAGUCCACGCCGUAAACGAUGAGUGCUAAGUGUUAGGGGGUUUCCGCCCCUUAGUGCUGCAGCUAACGCAUUAAGCACU
rnacentral:rRNA from 1 species